rnacentral:rRNA from 1 species
AGGGUGUAAACGCUGCAGACUUGGUGUUGGAAGUCCUUUGGGGGCAUUCAGUGCCGGAGAGAAGUUGUUAAGUCUGCUACUUGGGGAGUACGUCCGCAAGGAUGAAACUUAAAGGAAUUGGCGGGGGAGCACCACAACGGGUGGAGCCUGCGGUUUAAUUGGACUCAACGCCGGGAAGCUCACCGGAUAAGACAGCGGAAUGAUUGCCGGGCUGAAGACUCUGCAUGACUAGCUGAGAGGAGGUGCAUGGCGUAGACGUCU